CAGUCGCCGCGGUAAAACGAAGGGGGCUAACGUUGUUCGGAAUCACUGGGCGUAAAGCGCACGUAGGCGGAUACUUAAGUCAGGGGUGAAAUCCCGGGGCUCAACCUCGGAACUGCCUUUGAUACUGGGUAUCUUGAGUCCGGGAGAGGUUGGUGGAACUCCGAGUGUAGAGGUGAAAUUCGUAGAUAUUCGGAAGAACACCAGUGGCGAAGGCGGCCAACCGGCCCGGUACUGACGCUGAGGUGCGAAAGCGUGGGGAGCAAACAGGAUUAGAUACCCGCGUAGUCCCUGUCUCUUAUAC
rnacentral:rRNA from 1 species